rnacentral:pre_miRNA from 1 species
AGCCUCCUGAAUUUGUGCUAAGAUUAUGUUAGGCAUCAGACCAUCAGGAAUGAUGGGACUCCCAAGAUAGGCGAGGCG